GUAGGUAUGGCUUAGCAGUAGCAUACAUGCUUAGCAUGCAGGAGGUCCUGGGUUCAAUCCCCAGUACCUUCA
rnacentral:tRNA from 1 species